rnacentral:rRNA from 1 species
UACGUAGGGUGCGAGCGUUUGUCCGGAAUUACUGGGCGUAAAGGGCUCGUAGGCGGCCAACUAAGUCAGACGUGAAAUCCCUCGGCUUAACCGGGGAACUGCGUCUGAUACUGGAUGGCUUGAGUUUGGGAGAGGGAUGCGGAAUUCCAGGUGUAGCGGUGAAAUGCGUAGAUAUCUGGAGGAACACCGGUGGCGAAGGCGGCAUCCUGGACCAACACUGACGCUGAGUGAGCGAAAAGCCAGGGGAGCAAACGGG